AUACGGAGGGUGCAAGCGUUACUCGGAAUCACUGGGCGUAAAGGACGCGUAGGCGGGUUGUCAAGUCUGAUGUGAAAUCCUAUGGCUCAACCAUAGAACUGCAUUGGAAACUGGCAACCUAGAGUAUGGGAGGGGGAGAUGGAAUUAGUGGUGUAGGGGUAAAAUCCGUAGAUAUCACUAGGAAUACCGAAAGCGAAGGCGAUCUCCUGGAACAUAACUGACGCUAAGGCGUGAAAGCGUGGGGAGCAAACGGGAUUAGAAACCCCGGUAGUCC
rnacentral:rRNA from 1 species